ACCCGAUGCGAAGGCAGUCUCUGGCAUUAACUGACGUGAGGAGGAAAGCAUGGGAGCGAACAGGAUUAGAUACCCUGGUAGUCCAUGCCGUAAACGUUGGCACUAGGUGUGGGGACAUUCCACGUUUUCCGCGCCGUAGCUAACGCAUUAAGUGCCCCGCCUGGGGAGUACGGCCGCAAGGCUAAAACUCAAAGGAAUUGACGGGGGCCCGCACAAGCGGCGGAGCAUGCGGAUUAAUUCGAUGCAACGCGAAGAACCUUACCAAGGCUUGACAUGAACCGGACCGGUGCAGAAACGGGGUUUCCCCUUUGGGGCUGGUUUACAGGUGGUGCAUGGUUGUCGUCAGCUCGUGUCGUGAGAUGUUGGGUUAAGUCCCGCAACGAGCGCAACCCUCGUUCUAUGUUGCCAGCACGUGAUGGUGGGGACUCAUAGGAGACUGCCGGGGUCAACUCGGAGGAAGGUGGGGACGACGUCAAAUCAUCAUGCCCCUUAUGUCUUGGGCUUCACGCAUGCUACAAUGGCCGGUACAAAGGGUUGCGAUACUGUGAGGUGGAGCUAAUCCCAAAAAGCCGGUCUCAGUUCGGAUUGGGGUCUGCAACUCGACCCCAUGAAGUCGGAGUCGCUAGUAAUCGCAGAUCAGCAACGCUGCGGUGAAUACGUUCCCGGGCCUUGUACACACCGCCCGUCAAGUCACGAAAGUUGGUAACACCCGAAGCCGGUGGCCUAACCCCUUGUGGGAGGGAGCCGUCGA
rnacentral:rRNA from 1 species